rnacentral:rRNA from 1 species
ACUCAAAGGAAUAGACGGGGGCCCGCACAAGCGGUGGAGCAUGUGGUUCAAUUCGACGCAACGCGAAGAACCUUACCGGGGUUUGAACUGUGCAGGACAGCUCCAGAGAUGGAGUCUCCCUUCGGGGCCUGUAUAGAGGUGCUGCAUGGCUGUCGUCAGCUCGUGUCGUGAGAUGUUGGGUUAAGUCCCGCAACGAGCGCAACCCUUGCCUGCUGUUGCUAACGAGUAAAGUCGAGCACUCUGCAGAGACUGCCGGUGAUAAACCGGAGGAAGGUGGGGAUGACGUCAAGUCCUCAUGGCCUUUAAGCCCCGGGCUACACACGUGCUACAAUGGUUGGUACAAAGGGUUGCAAAACCGCGAGGUGGAGCUAAUCCCAAAAAGCCAAUCCCAGUUCGGAUUGCAGUCUGCAACUCGACUGCAUGAAGUUGGAAUCGCUAGUAAUCGCGGAUCAGCACGCCGCGGUGAAUACGUUCCCGGGCCUUGCACACACCGCCCGU